rnacentral:rRNA from 1 species
CUUGGGUUAAUCGUUCAGCCGUGUAGUUAAAUAGUUUAAUUUGAAAAUGCCAACCGCCCCUUAUAUCAGUUAUAGUUUAUAGUAUGCCUUAUUGGUAAACCGUAGUAAUUCUAGAGAAAAAAAUGGGGAGAAAAGGCUGUAGACUGCAUUUAUUAAAAUGAAAACCAUAGGUUUCGGCCUAUUCGUGAGUAAUAAUAACUAAUCAUAUCGUAUGCUUAUGUAACGAUGUGUCUUUCAAGUUUCUGCCCUAUCAGCUUUCGAUGGUAGGGAUUGGACUACCCUGGCAGUAACGGGUAACGAAGAAAA